rnacentral:rRNA from 1 species
UCAAGCUACAAAGAGCGCAAGGGGAAUGCCUUGGCACUGGGAGCCGACGAAGGACGUAGCGAUCUACGAUAAGCCACGGUGAGCCGAAAGCAGGCAUCGACCCGUGGAUUUCCGAAUGGGGCAACCUGGCUGAAUAGAACUCAGUCAACAUACGGUGAAUAAAAUAGUCGUAUGUAGGGAACCGCCUGAACUGAAACAUCUAAGUAGGGCGAGGAAAAGAAAUCAACCGAGAUUCCGCAAGUAGUGGCGAGCGAACGCGGAAGAGGCCAAACCGAGAGUAGUAAUACUUUCGGGGUUCGGACAGCGGACGGUAUGCUGAAGGUUAGCAGAAGGACAUGGGACGGUCCACCAAAGAGAGUGAGAGUCUCGUAUGCGAAAACUGAAAGCAGCCAGCUGAAUCCAGAGUACCGCCGGACACGUGAAACCCGGUGGGAAUAUGGGGGGACCAUCCUCCAAGCCUAAAUACUACCCAGUGACCGAUAGCGUAUAGUACUGUGAAGGAAAGGUGAAAAGAACCCCGGGAGGGGAGUGAAAAGAACCUGAAACCUUGUGCUUACAAGCACACAAAGCACGUCAAUGUGUGAUGUGGUACCUUUUGUAGAAUGGUCCGGCGAGUGAAUGUAACUGGCGAGGUUAAGUUCUUAAGGAACGGAGCCGAAGCGAAAGCAAGUCUGAACAGGGCGUCUUAGUCAGUUGUAUUCGACCCGAAACCGGGUGACCUAUCCAUGUCCAGGAUGAAGUUAAGGUAAAACUUGAUGGAGGUCCGAACCCACGGUCGUUGAAAUGCCCGGGGAUGAGAUGUGGAUAGCGGAGAAAUUCCAAUCGAACCCGGAUAUAGCUGGUUCUCUCCGAAAUAGCUUUAGGGCUAGCCUCGACUGAACAUUACCGGAGGUAGAGCACUGAAUGGGCUAGGGGCCGAGAGGUUACUGAACCCUAUCAAACUUCAAAUGCCGGAAAAUGAUAGUCGGGAGUCAGACUGCGUGAGAUAAGUUUCGUAGUCGAAAGGGAAACAGCCCAGACCCACAGCUAAGGUCCCAAAGUACGGUUAAGUGGAAAAGGAUGUGGAGUUGCACAGACAACCAGGAUGUUGGCUUAGAAGCAGCCACUCAUUAAAAGAGUGCGUAAUAGCUCACUGGUCGAGUGACUCUGCGCCGAAAAUUUAACGGGGCUAAAUCGUACACCGAAGCUUGGGAUGUAUCUAUGAUACAUGGUAGGAGAGCGUUGAAUGCGGGGUGAAGUCAGAGCGAAAGCGCUGGUGGACUGCAUUGAAGUGAGAAUGCCGGAAUGAGUAGCGAGAUUUAUGUGAGAAUCAUAAAGGCCGAAAGACUAAGGUUUCAGAAGGAAGGUUCGUCCGCUUCUGGUUAGCCGGGAGCUAAGGUGAGGCCGAAAGGCGUAGCCGAUGCACAUACGGUGGAGAUUCCGUAGCCGUCGAAAUAUUUAAGCAAAGGGACACUUAUGAAGGACAUGACCCGGGCGAUGGUAGCCCCGGGCGUAAGGGACUGAAAACAAGUAAGGAAGCAUGUUUGGAUUAAGGCGAGAAAAGCUUUGUGUAUAUAUGAGACGUCCGUACCGCAAACCGACACAGGUAGUCAGGAAGAGGAUUCUAAGGCCAACGGGAGAAGGGUAGUUAAGGAACUCGGCAAAUUGACCCCGUAACUUCGGAAUAAGGGGUGCUCACGAGAGUGAGCCGCAGUGAAUAGGUCCAGGCGACUGUUUAUCAAAAACACAGCUCUCUGCUAAAUCGAAAGAUGACGUAUAGGGGGUGACACCUGCCCGGUGCUGGAAGGUUAAGAGGAGGAGUGCAAGCUCCGAAUUGAAGCCCCAGUAAACGGCGGCCGUAACUAUAACGGUCCUAAGGUAGCGAAAUUCCUUGUCGGGUAAGUUCCGACCCGCACGAAUGGUGUAACGAUCUGGACACUGUCUCAACUACCCACCCGGCGAAAUUGUAGUACCGGUGAAGAUGCCGGUUACCCGCGGCAAGACGGAAAGACCCCAUGGAGCUUUACUGUAACUUGAUAUUGGGUCUUGGUAUUCUAUGUACAGGAUAGGCGGGAGACUAUGAAACAUACACGCCAGUGUAUGCGGAGUCACCCUUGGGAUACCGCUCUUAGAGUACUGAGAUUCUAACCUGCGGCCGUGAAUCCGGUCGGGGGACAUUGUCAGGUGGGCAGUUUGACUGGGGCGGUCGCCUCCAAAAGAGUAACGGAGGCGCUCAAAGGUUCGCUCAGCAUGGUCGGAAACCAUGCCUUAGAGUGUAAACGCAAAAGCGAGCCUAACUGCGAGGCUGACGGGCCGAGCAGUAACGAAAGUUGGAGUUAGUGAUCCGGCGGUAUGUGAAUGGAAAUGCCGUCGCUCAACGGAUAAAAGCUACCCUGGGGAUAACAGGCUGAUCUCCCCCAAGAGUCCACAUCGACGGGGAGGUUUGGCACCUCGAUGUCGGCUCAUCACAUCCUGGGGCUGUAUUCGGUCCCAAGGGUUCGGCUGUUCGCCGAUUAAAGUGGUACGCGAGCUGGGUUCAGAACGUCGUGAGACAGUUCGGUCCCUAUCUGUCGUGGGCGCAGGAUAUUUGAGGAGCUCUGUCCUUAGUACGAGAGGACCGGGAUGGACGUACCUCUGGUGCACCAGUUGUCAUGCCAAUGGCACGGCUGGGCAGCUACGUACGGAACGGAUAAACGCUGAAAGCAUCUAAGCGUGAAGCCGACUCCAAGAUUAGAUAUCCCAUUGCAUAAGCAAGUAAGACCCCUUGAGGACUACGAGGUUGAUAGGCUGCGUGUGUAAGUGUCGUGAGGCAUUUAGCUUGGCAGUACUAAUAGGUCGAGGGCUUGACCAC